UCUGCAGAUUUUAUGAAAAUUGGUUAUAUCUGGUUUUGUUAUAACAGCUGGCUCUUUUAAAACAAAACAAACAAAAAUCUUUUUAUUUCUAACUCCUAAGAAAUAGGAGAGACACAGUAUAAUAUUCUGACAAAAUAGGUUAGAAAUGGGCAAUAAGAUGAUCAUACUGAGUGGAGGUUUAAUUGACUCACAGUUCCAAAUAGCUGGGGAGGCUUCAGGAAACUUACAAUCAUUGCAGAAGGGGAAGCAAACACGUCCUUCUUCACAUGGUGGCAGUGAAAUCUAAGGGGAGGUUCCCAAACCUCAAUUCAUCACGCCUGUGUACUCACAGGACCAACACCAUGAGGAAGCUGCCAAGGCUUGAGGGUAGCACUCUCUGCCGCCAUUGCCUGAGCAGAAACUGUCCCCAUGAUUCAAUUAUCUCCACCUGGUACCACCCUUGACACUUCAAGAUGAGAUUUUGGGUGGGGACCAACAUGCCUGCUAAUUAAUCAUUUUUUUGUACUUUAGUAGACACAGUUCACCACAUUGGCCAGGCUGGUCUCAACUCCUGGCCUCAGGUGAUCCAGCUGCCUCAGCUUCCUAAAGUGCUGGGAUUAUAGGCAUGAGCCACCACAUCCAGCCUAAAAUAUAUUUCCUUUAACUUAUAAAAGCAGAUCCAGAAAUUUCAGUGUGUUAGU
rnacentral:lncRNA from 1 species